CAAUCCGAAUGGGAAAACAUUUAUGGGUGAUACGAUGCUCUUUUGGGCGGCUUUGGAAUUUGAGUUUUUACGCCACUUCCAUAACUUCCAGGAUUAAAUAACAAUACCCACACGAAUUGGUUUGUUAUGAUCUCUCCGAGUGUAAUUGCACUGUAAACCCCAGUGGCAGGAUUUUGUGCCAUCCGCGCAUUAGAAUUAGGAUCGGGGAGAUGGUUUCGGAAGCUGGAUGAUUCGAUCGCACUGGUGAGAUCGUGAUACCGAGCUGGGACGUCGAAGCUGGCCCGCCUUUUGGGACUGAGUUUCAAUUGGUGUGCUCUGGGCCUGAGCCCCUGGAUUGCAUACAGUAGCUGCACUCGUUGCUUACAAACCCAGUUUUGACACGCUCCGAACAUUGAAGCCACAUGGAUGGAGAAGAACAGCCAUGUGCACCAACCGCGAACCCAAAGCAUCGCCUUCACAGAUUGUGUCGGGAUGCACUUGGACGUCGCGCGAUGAAUUGCCCCUGGGUUUCGAUUCUGGGGUUGUUCGGAGACGCCGCCUCGGUCUCGACGUAAGAUCCAGCACUUUCCAAGUUCUUCGACACCAUUUUCAGGAAUCCCUAUAAAUGGACUUCUCACCGCUUCUUCAUUCAAAAACAACCCGAUGCUCACAAAUUCAUGGACAGAUGUGAGGCUGCAUGUCUUCAAAUUCAUGAAGGAGGUUCUUAAUCUAUCAAAACCAAAUAGUAAAUCAGUGGGAAUUACGACAGCAUUAGCAACUGCUAUGUUUAACAGUUUUUACUGAUUGCGUGUUUGUUUUGCUUAGAUGUUUCUAUUGCACGUACUUGCUGCAUCUUUCCAAUUUCUGUAACUGAUUAUUAGUAGAAACAAGCUACUUGAUGUGUUGAGUUGCUGAUGGAUAGUUAUACACCGUGAGACACAGUUUUUGUAGUUUUUGUUGAUAACUGAUUCUUCCUUGUCUGUUUUUUUGUGUUAAAUGGUAUGAAUAUGUAUUUUUAAAUGUAUGUGUAUAAAUACAUAUUUGUUUCCGAUUCUGAAGCAGUUGUUCAGAAUGGGAAUAAUAAUACAAUAAGUAAAGACGUGCAACCUUGGGAUGUGUUCUGUUUACGGUUGUAACAUCAGAAUAAAGGUGGUCCAUUAAAAAGAAGAUACGGGCAAAAAGAAGCAUCUCUGCGACUUGUGAACUUCUUAUUUGGCUUUCAAGCACUUUGGGUGGUCUUGUUUUGUAGGUUUCUGUUGAAAAGAGAUUUAUGGGUAAUGUGAGCUCCUCAUUUGAAAAGGAAAAAGAAGAAGAAGAUGAAGGCCUGAAUGCUUGCACAAAAGAAUAGAAAAUAGGAAAAGAUUAAGUACAUGUAAAAGAAGGCUACAUUUGGGUCAAGAAAGUGAUCAACACUCCAGGGUUCUAGUAAAACAGAAUAAAAGUAAAAGAGACUUCCAAAAUGCAUUUUUUAAACCUACCUUAAAACUUUUAUACAGGCCAUGUUUUAACUAUUUACAAGUUAGGAAAAUAAAAAUCUUGUACUCACCAAUCAUACCAUUUACAUCAUUAUCCAUUAUUAGUUUCA